ACGGAGGGUACGAACGUUAAUCGGAAUUACUGGGCGUAAAGCGCGCGUAGGCGGUUUGAUAAGUGGGAUGUGAAAGCCCCGGGCUCAACCUGGGAACUGCAUUCCAAACUGUCAAACUAGAGUGUGGUAGAGGGCGGUAGAAUUUCCUGUGUAGCGGUGAAAUGCGUAGAUAUAGGAAGGAAUACCGAUGGCGAAGGCAGCCGCCUGGACCAACACUGACGCUGAGGUGCGAAAGCGUGGGGAGCAAACAGG
rnacentral:rRNA from 1 species